rnacentral:lncRNA from 10 species
UAUGCAUGUAGUUUUAUCACUACCCUCAUGCCACUACCUUGGUCUGUGCCACUAUCAUUUCUCCACUGGUCGUUAUCUGGACACCUGCAAUAUCCUUCUAACUGGUCUCCAGUUUUUCACUCCUAUCACUGCCACUGCCAAUAGCUCCAACAUGCAAAGCCACAGGGGCAGAGCUGCCCAAGGCCUUGGGAGCCCACCCCAUGCAUCAGCAUGCCCUGGAUAUGAGACAUGGGGUCAAAGGGGACU